CAAUUCAUCUCCCCCAAAUAGAAGAACCCUGAGGUCUCUAAGUUUGCCAAUAUAGCGUGGUAUACCACCAGAUAGCUUGUUGUACCUCCAAUCAAGUGUCAUCAAAUUGAAGCUUCCAGACAGCAUCUUUGAGAUGGAUCUUGCGACCAUGUUAUGGUGCAGGUGGAUGAACUUCAAGAACGUAAGUUGGGAGCAAGCUGGUAAAGGUCCGAUCAACUGAUUUUUGGAAAGGUUAAAAAAACUAAACAUCUCAAGAUUGCAUACAGCAUCUGGUAAGUUACCUUCUAGCAAGUUGGCUGACAUAUCAAGAGAAUACAAUAAUGAAAAAUUUCCAAUCCAACUAGGAAUUCUGCCCCGAAAACCAUUAUUGGAGCAACUAAUCUUGGUUAGGUUGAAAGGGUGUCUUAGAUUUGAUUCCAUCAAAUAUUUGCCUUUCCUUUCUUCAACAGUGACUCCUGAAUCCUUUGUUCUGGUUUUCAAAGAUUUGGAGUCAUCUAAAAGGGAUGUUAAUUUUUAUUUAUUUAUUUUAAAAAAAUAUUUUGGGUGACUUGGCACACUUAAACUCAAUACCAAGUAGUGACUCUUAUUUUUUCCUAAAAACCCUUUUUAGACUGUUAUUUUGGGCCAAAACCGUUGCAUAUUUUAAGUUCCAUUUUAGGCUCUUUUCCUUUAUUUAUUUUCUAAUAUCAAAAAAUUAAUUUUCAAAUAAAAAAUAUUAAUAAAAAAAUAUAAUUUUUUCUAACACCUAAAAAUUCAUUUUUUUCAUUCUUUCAAUACUAAAAAUUUAUUUCAUCAAAAAUCAUUCUUUUAAUACCUAAAUCAAUUUUAUUAUUUUUCAAAAAAAAAGGGGCAUGUCAAUAAUAGGAUAUGGACCUUUCUUGUGACUAAUUGCAAAUGUUCCAAGUUGUUUCAAUUGCUAAUAUCCUAUUCUAAAUCAAGAAAUUGGGCUUGCAUCAAUCUACUUUGCAUGAAGAGUUAAAUUCUGUAAUUCUGGAAGUGGACAAGGAUCUUGAGUUCGAGUCAAGUACUUGAGCUUGAUCAUACUCGCAAGAAAAUCGAGUCGAUCUUGAAUUUUCAAGCAAUUUUUCGAAUUCGAGUCUGAACUCCAUUUCUGCUACUUGGUGGAGCUCGAGCAAUAUAUCUCUACUGUCGAGUCGAGCUCGAGUAUAACGAUAUUCGCACUCGACUCAACUCGAUUACAUCCCCAUCUAUAACUAGCCAUUGGAGGAUAUUUUUUUGUUUAAAACAACUUAUGUCGGCUCUUGGACGAUUUUCAAUUAACAUUUGUAGGGGUCUUUUGGAAAUGGUAAAAUUGUAAAAGUAUUGAUAAAACAAAGGUUACAAGUGUGUGUUGCAAUUAAAAUAUACUAUUAUUAGUUUUGUCAUAUUUGAUGACUAUUUCUUUCGAUAAUGUACUAUUAUUUAUCCAAUAAAAAAUCCUCUCUAACCACAAACGCCAAAUACCCACGCGAUGCGUGAGCACUCCCCCUAAUUUAUAGAAUUAUAGUAAAGUUUAAUGGUUGAAAAUGUCUUAUUUGACUAACUAAUCUCUCUCGCAAUUGCCCAUAAUUGCACCAAUGCCCUUUUAUUAUAGGACUUGUGAUGUCAACCCGCUAUAUUAUAGGGAUAACUUUUCUAUACAUUGUUUAUGUGUAAUUUUUUUUUUUUACACUAACAAAUUUAGAUCAUGUCACGUAACAUGAAUUCAAAAAAUUGAAAUUCAAAUCAUGCACAUGUGAUAUUCAUCCAAAAUUGCUAAUGUAAAAAUAUUACUACACUAUUUGUGUAUAAAAAGUUAAUCCAUAUUAUAGUCUAUAUAUAUAUAUAUAUAGGGCAAAAAACCGCGGUGGUUUUCAAACUUUCAACUUUGUACACUUUUAGUCUUUCAACUAAUAAGUGCGUAAACGUAGUCCUUCAAUUAAUAAAAAUGUGUAAUCAUAGUCCUUCCAUCUAAUUUAACUGUUAACAUGGACAGGAAGAUACAAAUAUGGUACAAAAAAUAAAGGGAUAAUUUCAGAAACCUCCCUUGAGGUUUUUAACAAUUUCAUUUAGCUCCCUUGAUGUUUUAAAAAUUACAUAUACAUCCCUUAUCAUUUAAAAUGACAAUACUACCCUUGAAUAUUUAAUGAAAUUUCCUUGUUUGGUAUGUUUAUAUUUAGAAUAAAUUUUUUUUUAUUUUUUUUCCUUCUUAUUCCUUUUUUUUUUUUAAUUUUUUGCCAAUAAAACUAUGAAACUAUCACUAUUAUCUCAAGUUUCUAUUGCAAUCAAAUGUCCAAUUAGUGAUUUUUUUUAUGAGUUAACUUUAUAUGCAAUCCAAUGUUUUUGCUGAUCUUCAUUUUCUAUUUUUUGGUAUUAAAUAACAAUAAAUCAAAAGAAAAUGGUCCAAAAUCACUAUUAAAUUAUGAUAAUCCAGCUAUUUGAAAAAUUCAUAAACACUACAUGAAUUAUUUGAACAUUUUCUUUUCUAUCUUAUAAAUUUAAAUCCAUAAUAAAAUACCAUCAAAAGUAUCCUAUUAUAGUGAUAAAAUUAUUAUUAUUGCCGUUUAUCAAUAGUAGGUACGAAUAUGAAAAAUUGGGCACAUUUUUAUUAUAAUUAUACUAGAUAAUCUUAUAAUUAUAUAGGGAAGUAAAUUAAAACUCAUUGCACAAGGGUAUUUUUGGAAAUUCAUUUAAAAAUUUGACCAAAUCAAUAUUAUUUUAAGAUUUUGUUACUAAAACUAUCAAAUCAAGGGAAGUAGGUGUAAUUUUCCAAACAUUAAGGGAGUUGAGUGAAAUUUUUAGAAACCUCUAGGGAGUUUUUGUAAUUAUCCCAAAAAUAAAUGUCAUGUGAGCAUCGUGUGAUGUGUUUCCUGUCUAUCGUAAUAGUCAAAUUGGAUGGAAGGACUACAAUUACAUAUUUUUAUUAAUUAGAGGACUACAUUUACGUACUUAUUAGUUGGAGGACUAAAAGUGCGCAAAGUAAAAAGUUUGAAGACCAUCGCAGUUUGGGGGGGGGGGGAUGAGGCGCAGAUUUGAUUUGAGUUAACCCAUUUUAUCAAGUUAGAAAUAGUUUGAACUGCUCUAAUUUUCAUAUUGAUACCAAUUUUUUGUAAAAAAAAAUAAUUAGUGAAAUAUACACAAAUUUUACAAGUUAAUUAAACUAAUAAAUCAAGAAAUAAAAAUCAUUUACUUGCUGUGCCACAUUUUGUUAAUAGUUUAGUGGCUAACGUUGAAACCCCAAAAUAUAAGGGUUUUGAGUUUUAAUCCCCCUCUCCUCUCCCUACAUUGCUAGAAAAAGGAAAACAAAAAGUUGAGCGACUGUACAAUUUGGCCAUUUGUAUUGCAAAAUGGGAACUUGAUCAUUCAUUUGCUUUUGACCAAUUAAAAAUUAUCCAAAGCCGCUCUAAUCUUCAUCUUCAUACAUUAAUUAGUAAAAAAAAUUAAGGCUACUCAGAAACGAAAUAGUAAUUGUGCAAAUAAAGAAAAUUAAACCACAAAAAAUGAGAAAAAAAAAAAGCUGCAGUGCAAAAUAUAUUGUUGAUGGUCUCAACUCUUUCUAAUUUGUUUCAUUUUCAUUGCUGCACCCCCUUCCCCAAGAUUAACUCUAUUGGAAAAUAAAUAUUAAUUUCAACAAAUAGAAAGGAAUGCUGAAACUAACAAACACAUAAUCAACAUGUUAAAAUUUAUUUUGUCUGACCAAGAAUUCAGUUUAUUAUUGUUUCUGGUUAUGGACAUGAACCCAUUGCGGGAGCAAAAGCAACUAAUUGUGUUCUGUGGCACUAAUAUUUUCAAUCUUUAUGAGAACAAGAAUAUGAUUGAAAUUUGCUUCAUUUAUUCUGAAUCAACAACAUAGAUUCAUAUGGGACUUCACUUCGAAGUACUUAAAAGUCUGAACUAGUACUUUUUUUUUUUGGGAUGAUAGUGGAAAAGUCCACUUUUAUUGUCACUCUACAGUGUUGGACAUGAGAAUUUCACCUCAUAGAGUUCCUCUUUCAAUACUUGCAAAUACAUUGGACCUUUUUCCAAAUUCGAGAAUCCCAAUAGAGAAACUAGGACCAAUUCAUCUCCUUCUCAUGUUCCAAUUGAACACUUUUCAUGUUUGCUUUUUCUCUAACGAACAAGACCUGCAAUACUCGUAGAAUCUAGAUAGGAUCCAAUAAUCAAUAUAAAAAGACCAUGCUCUUCUAUAAUAAGGGCUAACACAAAGAAUUACCACAAAUGAAAUCACGAUCACCAUAUAUGAAGCAAAAAAGCUCCAAGCGAAUGCUGCCACGUCAAUUGCACCAUCAACUUCGAUGUCUUCAUCACCAACAUUUUCAGGGUGUGGAGCAAAGGGGUUACAACUUCUCUUGAGCAAUGGUCCACAGAGACCUGGAUUUCCUCUAUAAUUGCUUUCGUCAAAGGUUGCAAACUGCCGUGUAUCAGGCACCCUGCCAGACAAGUUAUUGAAUGACACAUUGAAGGUGGACAAGGUAGUCAAUGAUGCUAGCUCUGAAGGUAUUUCACCACUGAAAUUGUUGUAAGAAAGAUCCAAGCUCUCUAUUUGGUUCAACAUGGAAAGUCUUGGGGGAAUGGAUCCUUGCAAGUAGUUGUGGGAUAAAUUUAAUGCCCGGAUAUGACUGAGAUCACCAAAUUCAGACGGAAUUGCUCCAAUCAAUUGAUUACAUGACAAAUCAAGUCCAGACAUGAAAUUUAAUAUAUUCCCUGUAUAGCGUUCGGCUCUACUUUUUGUUGUGAAUUCCACUUCUUCUUGCUCGGGAGAAGUUAACACAUCCUCACUCACGUACUCGUCAAUACCCAAUGAAUUAGACUUAUCGAAUCCUAUUGGGUUUCCCCCUGUAGCGACUAUCGUGUCAAGAGCAAGAAAUGCAUCUGCGGCAAAGUGUCCUCUGCCGAAAGAGAUGUUGCUGAAGCAUGAAGGCAGUGGCCCAGAAAAUUUAUUUUGAGAAAGAUCCAUAAUUGUUAGGUUCUGCAGCUGACAUAAGUGCAAAGGGAUAUGACCAUGCAAUUCGUUUCCACCCAAUAGAAGAACCCUGAGCUCUCUGAGUUUGCCAAUAUAGCGUGGUAUACCACCAGAUAGCUUGUUGUACCUCAAAUCAAGUGUCAUCAAAUUGAAGCUUCCAGACAGCAUGUUUGAGAUGGAUCCUGAGAUCAUGUUAUGGUGCAGGUGGAUGAACUUCAAGAACGUAAGUUGGGAGCAAGCUGGUAAAGGUCCGAUCAACUGAUUUUUGGAAAGGUCCAAAAAACUAAGCAUCUCAAGAUUGCAUACAGCAUCUGGUAAGUUACCUUCUAGCAAGUUGGCUGACAUAUCAAGAGAAUCCAAAGAUGAAAAAUUUCCAAUCCAACUAGGAAUUCUGCCCCGAAAACCAUUAUUGGAGAUGUCCAGAUAAGUAAUCAAUCCAUUUGGAAAUAAUGCAUCCGAAAUGCUCCCAGUGAAAUUGUUAUUAUCCAAGUAAAGCAAUUCUGGGCCUGUA
rnacentral:lncRNA from 1 species